GGCGCCCCCGGCGGUCGCGGGAGCGCGUGCCGUUGGGCACCUUGGGUGCGCCGGGAGCCGCGGGUCGGCGGCGGCGUGGGCGUCUCUCGGCUCGCGGGGUGAGCUGAGGACAAGUGACUGAAUUUUGGAAAAUGAGAAAUCACUCCCACUCCCCACUAGAAAAAAAUUAAACCAAUGCUGUGGACUCCUUCAGUGCUUUACUUCUGAGAGAAACCUUCAAAUUCUUGCUCGUGCCUUGGAAGAAAAAAGAAGCAUUUUUAGAUAACAAAAUGUCCUCCAACUGGAUUUGCAGCAGCAAUGAUGGAAGUUCUGGCAGGGAGGCUACAAACCAUGCCAGCCUUAGCAAGACUAAUACUUUGCUGUUCCAUAGCUUCUAACAAGGCUUGAUGUUGAUUCCCCAUCUUAUCAA